rnacentral:rRNA from 1 species
AAUACGUAGGGUGCGAGCGUUGUCUGGAAUCACUGGGUGUAAAGGGUCCGCAGGCGGAUUGACAAGUCGUUGGUGAAAUCCCACCGCUUAACGGUGGGACUGCCGACGAUACUGUUGGUCUUGAGUGCAGAAGAGGGAGACGGAAUUCCUGGUGUAGCGGUGAAAUGCGUAGAUAUCAGGAAGAACACCGGUGGCGAAGGUGGUCUCCUGGUCUGUUACUGACGCUCAGGGACGAAAGCGUGGGGAGCAAACAGGAUUAGAUACCCUGGUAGUCCACGCCCUAAACGAUGGGUACUCGAUGUCGGGUCGCAAGACUCGGUGUCUAAGCUAACGCAUUAAGUACCUCACCUGGGGAGUACGAUCGCAAGGUU